GGUUUAGGGCAUUAAGAAGGAUUCGACCCUAUUGACGCUCAAAGUUUGAAGGGCCGUUUGGGAUUCGGACACGAUGUUUUCCAAGGAGCCUGAUGUCUGCGACCGAUUAGAGCAGCCCCCGACUGCCUCUGAGGCCAUGAUCGGCCAUCUUGGAUGCUGUCAAUCGAGCCCCUUGUUGGUUUCAUUGAUCGAUUCGGUGUGAGUAGGUCGGUUCUGUUCAGAUGGCUGGUGAGAAAGGAAGAUAGAUGCCUUCAAUGCUGAGUUUUUCCAUCCUCCUUGUCAUCCUCUGUUGGAAGGAAGAAAGGACCAGCCUUGUGCAGGCUACAAGAAAUCUAUGCCAGUGACUGUCCCUCAUUACACCUGCCUGAAGUGCCUCAAGAGGGUCGCAUUCAAGACUGCUGCCAGAUUUGCAGAACUUUAAACCCCGGACAAAAAAGAAUAGAGAGGUGAGGCUGUAUCACGUCUUCUUGGAGGCAGCCCUGCGUAUGCCUUCUGAACCUUCCCGCUUUGGGCACACACUCAGUAUUCUGCAUCAAUGCAGAUUGCUCUCUGGACAUCACUUCUGAAUGUUGGCACUGAUCCCCUACCCUGGCGCCAAGAAAGAAGCACAGAAGAUCAGAUUCGUUAAAGGAGCAGAGGCGUGGCUCCACUAAAGUAGUGGUUCUUAAACUGUGGAUUGGAACCCCAAAGUGGAUUAUGAUCCCGUUUUAAUGGAGUUGCCAGGGCUGGCUUAGACUUGCAGUGGCCAGGGGCUGAAGCCAAAGCCUGAGUCCCACUGUGUGGGGCUUCAGCCUGAGGGCUUCAGCCUUGGGGGUGAAUGGGACUGAGUGAGGCUUUGGCUUUGCUCAGCCUUCACCUGGGGUGGCAGAGAUCAGGCAGGCUCAGGCUUUGGUCUCCCUUCUGGGUUGGGUAGUAACUUUUUUUUUUUUUUUUUGGUCAGAAGGGGGUUGCAGUGCAAUGAAGCUUGAGAACCCCUGCACUAGAGGAUUGAGGUCCCUGCUACCAUCCACCAAUAAAGAAUCAAGAGGACAGGGUAGAGCAUCCUCUGGGAUGCACAUACCAGUCUCUUCUCAUCAGGGGUUGUUCAGGUGUCAGUAGAGCUGUCAUAAACAGAUAGUUAAGGGUUAAUGUCUCUCUUUUACCUGUAAAGGGUUAA